CGAGCGCAACCCUCGACCUUAGUUGCCAGCAUUCAGUUGGGCACUCUAAGGUGACUGCCGGCUAAAAGUCGGAGGAAGGUGGGGAUGACGUCAAAUCAUCAUGCCCCUUAUGACCUGGGCUACACACGUGCUACAAUGGGCGGUACAAAGGGUCACGAACCCGCGAGGGGGAGCCAAUCCCAAAAAGCCGCUCUCAGUUCGGAUUGCAGGCUGCAACUCGCCUGCAUGAAGCCGGAAUCGCUAGUAAUCGCGGAUCAGCAUGCCGCGGUGAAUACGUUCCCGGGCCUU
rnacentral:rRNA from 1 species